rnacentral:lncRNA from 1 species
AGUUCUGGUGGAAUUCCAUGCGGUACAGAUAAAAGACUGAAAGACGCUCCCAACAGGAAGAGAAAAAUAUUAGGUAAGUGAAACCAUCUCUGAAAAUAAGAGUUUAAUUAUCUGCAGGAAAAGCAAAAGUGACAUUUGUCCACAAGAAUUCAAAAUUGAGGAGCUGUUUACGAAAAGGGUCUUUGGUGCCUAGGACCCCUUAUGUGGAAAACAGAGUAAAUGAUUCUCAUAAUUGAUCGUUAACCAUUACAAAGCUAGUAUGCCUCAAAAACAGAAACAAAAAAGGAAACAUGGUCAGGCCGAAAAUCUUGGUUGGAUCUCAUUUGAAUGAUGAAAUCCAAAACAUUUUCCUAAGGUAAUAGUACUCACUUUUUACUCAUGCUCUGAUCCUUAUUUGUUAGAAGUUACAGUAGUCUUUCUUUCCUUUCUGAUAGAUUUUAAAAAAAUCACCUUAAUUUGUCUGUCAGGAGUGUCUGCAAGAAUUGAUUGAAUAUGAUUUGGAAGUUAGGGUAGCGAGUUCGUGAAAAGCCAUUGAAAACCUGAAAAAGUCGGGGAAUUUUGCUGCGGACUCUUGAUUUCUUUCUUUCGAUCGCAACAUUUAAUUAUUCUCCAUCACAACCACAAGCUCCAUUGCGGAAAUUAGAACUUUGGCCUUUAAGUUCUUGAAUUUUGAAUUUUUUCAAUUUUUGAAAACUUAGCGAGAGAAACCUUUUGUGGAAAGCAUUUUUAUAAGAAAUUUCAGAAAUAAAAACAUUGAAAAUGCAUGAAAAUCCUGGGAAUGUAACACUCAUGUAAUUGAAGAGCUUGUGCAUUUUUAUACCUUUUUAAAAAUUAAUUUAACUAUUUUGCCUUUGCAUCUGUUUUAGAAAUGUUAGAUGCUGCUUCAGAGUAUGAAGGAGUAUUAUCAAAGAAGGUUCGCUCUAUCACUUAAAGUAGAACACAAGCAGUUUUCGGUCAAGGUGCUAAUCCCUCUGCAUAUAUUCUACCUGUGUCUGCAGUUGUACCAUGCCUAA